rnacentral:rRNA from 1 species
GACGAACGCUGGCGGCGUGCCUAAUACAUGCAAGUAGAACGCUGAAGGAGGAGCUUGCUUCUCUGGAUGAGUUGCGAACGGGUGAGUAACGCGUAGGUAACCUGCCUGUUAGAGGGGGAUAACUAUUGGAAACGAUAGCUAAUACCGCAUAAGAGUAGAUGUUGCAUGACAUUUGCUUAAAAGAUGCAAUUGUAUCACUACCAGAUGGACCUGCGUUGUAUUAGCUAGUUGGUGGGGUAACGGCUUACCAAGGCGACGAUACAUAGCCGACCCGAGAGGGUGGUCGGCCACACUGGGACUGAGACACGGCCCAGACUUCUACGGGAGGCAGCAGUAGGGAAUCUUCGGCAAUGGGCGGAAGUCUGACCGAGCAACGCCGCGUGAGUGAAGAAGGUUUUCGGAUCGUAAAGCUCUGUUGUUAGAGAAGAACGAGUGUGAGAGUGGAAAGUUCACACUGUGACGGUAUCUUAUCAGAAAGCGACGGCUAACUACGUG